UGGGAAUAUUGGACAAUGGGGGCAACCCUGAUCCAGCCAUGCCGCGUGAGUGAUGAAGGCCUUAGGGUUGUAAAAGCUCUUUCACCCGGGACGAUAAUGACGGUACCGGGAGAAGAAGCCCCGGCAACUUCGUGCCAGCAGCCGCGGUAAUACGAAGGGGGCUAGCGUUGUUCGGAAUCACUGGGCGUAAAAGCGCACGUAGGCGGACCGUUAAGUCGGAGGUGAAAUCCUGGGGCUCAACCCCAAGAACUGCCUUCGAUACUGGCGGUCUCGAGUCCGGAAGAGGUGAGUGGAACUGCCAGUGCAGAGGUGAAAUUCGUAGAUAUUAGCAAGAACACCAGUGGCGAAGGCGGCUCACUGGUCCGGUACUGACGCUGAGGUGCGAAAGCGUGGGGAGCAAAACAGGAUUAGAUACCCUGGUAGUCCACGCCGUAAAACGAUGAAUGCCAGCCGUCGGGCAGCAUGCUGUUCGGUGGCGCAGCUAACGCUUUAAGCAUUCCGCCUGGGGAGUACGGUCGCAAGAUUAAAACUCAAAUGAAUUGACGGGGUCAUAGCUGUUU
rnacentral:rRNA from 1 species